AUUUAAGACGACAUGAUUCAAGUAAUUUUAGUUUACAAUUUGUAACAUCCCAUCCUCCAGAACACCGUAGUCCAACCCAUCCAACUGACGCGCCCAUUUACAAAGAUCACCUUACUCACACUUACGUUGUCGCUUCGUGUAAAAUAGACAAAUGGUUGGAGGGACGAUGCCUUAGGACAUGAGCAAUGUAUAUUGCACAAUCAGUCCUUAUUGUGGGCCCUAGGUGGGUCCCACUGAGAUAUAUUUCAUCUUCACAAUGUAUAUUGGAGAAAGGAGGUUUUAAGGUGGACCCCACAAUUAUUACCAUUCCAACCAUCCUACUCUCCCUCAGUCACCAGAAUUUUCCCCACCCCACUGAGGCAUCGAUGAAAAUAGCGGUAGCUCGCGCGAGUGGAGCCAUGGCGACGGUGGUGGCACUCGCUUGUGGCAACGGCGGCAGUGGUCGCGUGCAGCGGCCCAUAGAAUUCGCAGCAGAGGCCGCGGAGCUCGCGGGUAUACACGGAGUCGACAACGGCGUUUGCGGGCACGGAUGGAUCCGGCGGCGGCAAUGAUGAAGCUCGCGGGUAGAUCUAGCUACGAGACUCAUGGGCGUGGAUGGAUCCGGCGGCGGCACACAUGGGCACAGGUGGAUCCGACGGCGGCGGAGCUCGUGAGAGGACUUCGGCUGCAACGGUGCUCGUGGGUGGGCGUGAGUGGAUCCGGCGACGACGCUCGCGGGCGCGGGUGUAUCCGGCGGCAGCAGGAAUACUCGCCACCAUCUCCCGGCGGUUCUUCAGCAAAUCUAUCCAGGUGUAUUCUUCCCUUCUCCCAUGGAGGCAAGCAACUGAAUUAGAGAGAGAUGGGCUAGCAGUACCAUAGCAGAGAGAAGAACGAAUGUUUUAUUGCUUAUAGCCGGUCCUUAGCCAAUAAACAAUCCCGAACAAAUUAUUUAUAAACGCAGAUUUAUAAGAGUAAAAAAUAGUUUUCUUGAAAAAUCCAAUACAUAAAUAUUCGUAACAAAAUGUCAAACACCAAAUAAAUUUAGUUACCUUCCUACUUUACAUAGAAUGAGCGAUCAUAUUCGACGACCAAAAUGCAACCGGCCGGCUGCCGGCACGCGCCUAGUCUCGUGACGUACGUUGUCGUCACACGUGGUCAUGUAGAAUUUUUAUUGUUGGAUUUAUUAUGGGGUAUUUUGAGUUUCUUGCCGGCACUCAUAACCUCUGGUAGACUUACUAUUGGAUAAUUUGAAUAUCCUUGAUACAUUGAUGUUGCUACAAGGAUGUCGACGUCUCAACAUGAUCUUAUUAUAUACUAGCGCGCCGGUAGUCUCUAUGACCAACAAAUUACCCCACUCCUCGGCCAUUGACCUCUCCCUAGUCUUCCUCUCGACUCGCGAGAAUUAUGACGCCUCCACUUCACCAGCACAGUAUCCGUGAGUUGAAAGCUCAAUCUGUGACCAAGCUCAAUCCGUGAGUUGAUUUCAAUUUUUGUCAAAAUGCUGCCGAAAUUUUAUCAAAAUUCCGUCAAAUUCAAAUUUUGUCCAAAUUGUAAUGUCAAAAUCUGUCCAAAUCUGUCAUUUAAUUUUAAACAUAUUCAAAAAAUAAAAAGUAAAU